GGCGGCAACAGCGCGGUGGUCCCACCUGACCCCAUGCCGAACUCAGAAGUGAAACGCCGUAGCGCCGAUGGUAGUGUGGGGUCUCCCCAUGUGAGAGUAGGGAACUGCCAGGC
rnacentral:rRNA from 1 species